rnacentral:rRNA from 1 species
GAUGAACGCUAGCUACAGGCUUAACACAUGCAAGUCGAGGGGCAGCAUGAUUGAAGCUUGCUUCAAUUGAUGGCGACCGGCGCACGGGUGAGUAACACGUAUCCAACCUUCCGUACACUCAGGGAUAGCCUUUCGAAAGAAAGAUUAAUACCUGAUGGUAUCUUAAGCACACAUGUAAUUAAGAUUAAAGAUUUAUCGGUGUACGAUGGGGAUGCGUUCCAUUAGGUAGUAAGGCGGGUAACGGCCCACCUAGCCUACGAUGGAUAGGGGUUCUGAGAGGAAGGUCCCCCACAUUGGAACUGAGACACGGUCCAAACUCCUACGGGAGGCAGCAGUGAGGAAUAUUGGUCAAUGGACGAGAGUCUGAACCAGCCAAGUAGCGUGCAGGAUGACGGCCCUAUGGGUUGUAAACUGCUUUUANAAGGAAUAAGUUAGCCACGUGUGGUUUUUGUAUGUACCGUAUGAAUAA